ensembl:lncRNA
CCCAGCGGCGGGGGCACCGCGCGGCCGAGCGCUGCGGCGGGACAUGGCUCGGGGACACCUUAACCCCGCGGCCGGACGGGGUGCAAAGUCAGCACUGCGCUGUGCAGGCUGAGCGUUUCACCCCGGUGGUGCAAACUGGACUCAGAUCUGUGCAAUGAGCUGUUCUGAGUGAGAGCCCCAACCAAGGAGGCUGCACAGCUCUGCAUGUUUGGGGUUGCUGUGCUCCAUAACAGUACAAACAGUCGAAGUUGGAUCAAGCAACAGCUCUGGGAGGGCGAGAUGGCCCAGGAGAAGGCAUCUGAUGCUACAGAAAUUUGGUAUCCUCACCAUCACCUCCCAGGAGGUUUGGCACAGGGAUGCUCCAGCACGAAGUGGGCAUCAGCAUCUUGGACUUCACCCUUCUUAGACCUCACUGCAGGAUCCUUUCCUCUUUAAAUCACGAAUCCUGCAGAGCAGAGGAUGUGACAUCUGCUACCAAUGUGCUGGAUGGCUUGGGCUCAACCCCAGCUGCCCUGAGUGCUGCUGUUUCCAAGGUGCCAUGCACUUGGGAUGCAUCCAACAAUCUUGCAUUGUUGUCAGCUGAAGCAGAGCUGGAUUCCACUCUUGAAUUUUGCCAAACUUGGGCACUUUGUUUAUACAUUAAAUUUCUCCAGUGGGAAAUAGAGGUGAUGCCAGCAAAGUGCCUGUAUAGGAGUGCCCUGAAAGAUGUGAUGUAUAUUUGAUGCAACAGCUCGUCUCCAAGGGAAUCGGUUCUGUGUGUUGAAAUAUUUGGUUGUUUCAUUGAAGAAAGCAAGCCCAGAUUUCAAGGAGUUUUCAAGUGCAUACACAGGGUUAGGUGGUUUGCUAUCCUUGAGGGGCUGAAGCUGAGCAUGUUGCCAUAACAAUCCCACAGCACAGUGAUCAGCACAAACUGAAGCAUGUCUCUUGCAUCCAGCUGCCAGCCCAGCUGGGUUUGGAGGCAGCAUGGUUUGCUGAGCCCCAGGAAUUACUGGCAGGUGCCUGGUUUGCAUGCAGGAGGGAUGCUAACACUGCCUAAGGAGGUGCAGUCCUCUGGUUGUGCUGCUCCUCCCGCAGGGCUGGGACGUGGGAAGCACUGUAAGGCAGUGACACACAGCCUCCUGAAGGGCUUUCUCCUGCGCUGGGAGCACCAAAACACACCGGGAAAGCGAUGACCACACUAUUACUUCCUCCCAUUUCUCCAUCUCUUUCCCAUUUCCCUGCACCUGCUGGCCCCUUCUCUCCCACUGCAGUGACUUCUGGGUGCAUUUUCUCCCAGCUGUGCCCAGGUAAAUAACUUCUUCAAUGCCUUUGCAGUACCCUACGGAGCAGCGAAAGCAGAAAUCUGCUGAUGGCCCCAGAAACAGGCACCGUGGUGGGGAUGGAUGCUUUGAUUUCCAGCAAUGCAAUUAACACCAUCCUGAACAAAAAUAAUCGAGUGAGAUCUCUGCAUGGGAGAGCAGACCUGUAAGGGAGAGAUGCUGUUCCAAAAGGAAGGCAUUGCCCCUCGCUGGAGCAGCUUUAAUGCGGUUAUCUGAACCCACCCCGCAGGGCCAAACUUUACCAUCCCAAUAUUCUUAUCUGCACGCCUGCAGUGUAACUAAAGGGCCGUGGAACAGAACUGGGAUCAAACAGAUGCUUUGGUCUCUGGUUUUGGUGGCUGUGCUGCAGCUGCUGUCACUUCUGUG